rnacentral:rRNA from 1 species
AUUGAACGCUGGCGGGAUGCUUAACACAUGCAAGUCGAACGGCAGCGCGGACUUCGGUCUGGCGGCGAGUGGCGAACGGGCGAGUAAUGUAUCGGAACAUGCCCAGUAACGGUGGAUCGCUACACGACAGCGGAGAUAAUACCGCAUUAGCCCUACCGGGGAAAGCAGGGGAGCGUAAGACCUUGCACUCUUGCGCGGGCCGAUGUCGGAUUAGCUAGUUGGUGAGGUAACGGGUCACCAAGGCGACGAUCCGUAGCUGGUUUGAGAGGACGACCAGCCACACUGGGACUGAGACACGGCCCAGACUCCUACGGGAGGCAGCAGUGGGGAAUUUUGGACAAUGGGCGCAAGCCUGAUCCAGCCAUCCCGCGUGUGCGAUGAAGGCCUUCGGGUUGUAAAGCACUUUUGUCAGGAAAGAAAAGCCGCGGGCUAAUACCCCGUGGAACUGACGGUACCUGCAGAAUAAGCACCGGCUAACUACGUG